rnacentral:lncRNA from 1 species
AAAACUUUUAAGUGUCAUUUAAGUUUCUACUAGAGAAUGGAAAUACACUUUCACUGCAAAAGAUCUGGAAGAAAACACCUGUUUUUUGAAAGAUAUGCAAUGGCCACACUAUUAACAAACCUUUACUCCUGCAGUCUUCUCUAUACUCAACCCCAAACUGUGAAUGGAGAAAAUACUCAUCUGCUGGCGAUUCAUCGAGUCUGAGAAAGAAUAAGCUUGCUGAUGCUUCAGGAGGCUGACAUCUGAAAGUAUGCCCCUUCUUCUGACCAGUCUUUCUGCCCUAUAGACUGGUCAGUCCCUUUUCUGUGCAAAAACUUUAGUUCUGAUGGACUUUCAGUUGAGUUUUGCUUUUGUUUCCUGUGCCUUGGGAAUCCAGAAAGGCAUUCCCUAUACCAUCAUCUGUAUGUCUGCCUAUGUUUUCAUAUACUAUCUUUAAAUUUCAGCUCUUACAUAAAGGUGCUUGAGAUAUUUUGAGUUGACAUUUACACAGAAUGAAAGGGGGUUCCUUUCUUCUUCUGCAUAUGGAUAGCCAGUUUUCUCAGCAGAAUUUGUUGAGUAACUGUCUUUUCUACAGGGUGUGGGUUUGGGCACAAAUUUAAGAAUAACUUGUAUGCCAGGGUCAUAACCUUUGACCUACAGUCUGCCCUGCUUAUGAGAUAUGCUACUGUAAGGGUAGCACAGAGACUGUGGGAGUGGCCAACCAAUGACUGGUCUAAUCUCAGACCCAUGUUAGGAGAGUGAGCACACCUUGACACUGCUUGGAGUACUGGGACCCAGACAGAGGCUGGAUGCCCUACAGACCUAGGAUAGAACCAAACACCACUAAAAAAAAAAAUGUCGAUGUAAUGUACCUAAUAAUAUUCUGCUAUACUCAUAGAUUGGUGCCUAGCCCAACUGUCAUCAGAGAGCCUUCAUCCAGCAACUGAUGGAAACAGAUGUAGAGACCCACAGCCAAAUAUUCAUCCAAGCUCAGAGAAUCCUGAUGAAGAGAGGGAGAAAGGAUUGUAGGAGCCAGACUGGUCAAUGAUAUCAUAAGAAAACCUACAGAAUAAACUAACCUAGGCUCAUAGGAACUCA